UAUACUUGAUGUAUACCCAGCCUUAAUAACAAAGUAAAGGUUGACGCAUACAGCCAAUUAUAGCAACAAAUCAGUGAGCCAUAACAAAGGCAUAGCAGAAAAUAUCCAGCCACUAUAAAGCAAAGCACGACAUAUAGUAUAUAGCUUUAGCGUGACGCUAAACUAAGGUCCAAAUUUAAUAGUGCUAAGUAAAUUACACUAUAGCACAUUAUUUGCAAAAAAAUCAAUUUAGUGCAUAACAUGUUGAGCUUUAAUUUUGCGCAAUAGCCCAUUAUUUAAAAUAAAAUAAAGUAGUAGGAGUCCUCUGCCAUGAGACGACCAUGAACAAAUGUGUUGCAGAGCGGAGGGCCCAACUACACAGUAGAGCUGGGCAGGUACGAUGGGAAGAUCUCGACGACGAACAGCGUCAUGCUGCCGCACGUCGACGACAACCUCGACAGCCUCAAUUCCUUCUUCUAUACCCUAGGCCUCUCCCAGAUCGACAUGAUCGCAUUAUCAGGUACAUGAUUCAUCUCAUCACAUCGUCGACUUCUGAAUCUGAUCACGUCGGCCGGCCUGUUGUUGACCACCAUCUACCACCCCCUCAGGUGCCCACACCUUGGGAGCGGCCGACUGCGGCUUCUUCCAGCACAGGACCAGGGGCAAGGAUCCGAGCAUGAACCCGAGCUUUGACGCGCAGCUUCAGGGCACCUGUGCCAGACAGAACUUUGCGUUCCUGGAUGACGUGACACCGGUGGGAUUCGACAACUCCUACUUCAAGCUCCUGCAGAAUGGCAGGGGCCUCCUGGGCUCCGACCAGGUGUUGUACACAGACCAGAGAUCACGCGGUACCAUAGACUACUAUGCGUCCAACCAGGGCAUCUUCUUCUACGACUUUAGCAUCGCCAUGACAAAGCUCGGCAAGGUCGGGGUCAAGACGGCCACUGACGGCGAGAUACGCCGUGACUGUCGGUAUCCAAAUUAGAUACUUAUAGCAUAUGAAGAUUGCUCAUUGUCCAAACAUACCGCUGUCUAUAAAUGGACUAUAAAAUGUGUAGGGGUGAAUUCCAUAUAUGCCAUUGUAAAUUUACGCCUACCCUCAUAUGUUAUUCCAAAUAUGUCACUGAAAUUUUGCAACAUGUAUACAUAUUACACUACUGUCGCUUGACUGGUAGUGGUCGUCAAGUGGCAGCUGAAAAAUAUAAUUUCGCCCUUGGUCAUAUCUUGUGGUGAUUUAGCCAAAUGACUGAAUUUUGCAGCGUAGUAAACACAUAGGAACAUGGGACCCGAUCAUAACUGCAAUUCUGUGCAUGACUUAGCUCACUUUUUAAAAUUUCAUUGAUGGAUAGUCCAUAUUCAAGAACAAAUAAGAUUCACUCCUUGUUAAACAAUGAUUUCAGCAUUUCAUACGUUGAGGGAAGAACAGAUCUGAGAAUCAAGCACUCAUCCAAAAUCUCCACCCACAUCCCAGGAAUCAGUGUAAUUUUGUACUCCCUCUGAUCCAAUUUAAUUGAUGCAGCCUCUAUACAACUAGGCGAAUACUAAUUCAGAUCGGAGCUCUCGAGGAGCAAGAUGGAGCACAGUGGGGGUCGAGGAGUAGCACCGGAUCGCCGUGUAGCUGCAGUGGUUGUAGGUGUGGCUCACACUGUAAAGGUGGAGCCCAACGGCGGCGGUGUGAGCUGAUGUGUAUAACCCUAGGCAGUCCUUGCUGCUUAGGGACCGGGCAAAGAGAGAAUGCAUGAAGCUGUUGCCGUCGUGGCCAUGGCUGUUGCGCAGGAAGACGCCGAGCGUGAGAUGGUGGAAGAAGCGGCCGGAGGAGGACCUUGCUAAAGCAGUGUGGGAAGAGGGCAAGGCCGGAGCGACCCUUGUACUUGCUGCCGCCACGGCCCUCCUGUGUGCCGUGCUACAAGCGGUUGCUCGAGGAGGCGAUCGCUGGUGUGGGGGGAGGGGGACUUGGGCCAGUGGCAGGGGAGGGAGACCAGGGCCAUCUGCUGUAGGAGUGCGGCGGCCACCGGCUGGGGAGGGUGACCGGGACUGGUGGCAGCUGAAGAGGGAAUGGCGACGACGCCUGCAUCGUGGGAGGAGAGUCAAGGGAAGAAGGUUGUGCCUAGUGCGCGGGACAUACGUAGGUUUUAUUUUUCUUUUAUUUCUUUCUGACAGAUGGGUCCAGGGGAAAGAUUGGGAUUAUGAAAAUAAUUUUUUUUCUAAAACACAGUAUAGACGCGGGCGCUCAUAUACACACGCGUACACUCACCCCUACGAACACACAUGCACACCCUAUCGUUAUGAGCACCUCCGAGAGAUUGAGCUGACAAAUCAUCUUGAGAUUGACGGAGUCACUACAGGCGCCUGGUAGUCGACAGAAACGUCUCCUCCUGAACGUGCAUCACCGGAAAUCCUGAUAUAAAUCUAGAGUAAUAUGAGCACCAGAAUUUAAACCCUGAUGGGCUGGGAAUACCACUCUCCUCCUAACCAUCCAGCACAUGUUGGUUCGCAAAGAGGGGUCAACUUACGAUACUGGAAUAUAUGCACUUGGUGCAAAAUUUUGAUGACGUAUUUUGAAGAGGGAUUAAAUGGCAUAUGGGGAUAUGGUAAAAUUUUCAGUGACAUGUAAUGGUCGAUCUGUUCUGAAUUAUGUCAAGUUCAUGCAUGCCUUACUGACGGGUCUAUUCCACAAGCAACCUUAAGAGCUUAUUCUAUACAUGAAAAAAAUUAUCAUGUACAACAAACGGACUGCUCUACUCACUUGACCUUGUUCCACAAGGGCAUCAGAAAGGAUUUCCCAUGCCGCUACCGGGCAUUUCAUGUGCCAUUUUGUUGAUCUGCAACUUCCAGCGAUGAAACCCUAGUAGAGCAAUAAAUUUCUCGAAUAUUGCACGCAUGCCCGAAAAAUGCGGGGCGUGGCAAAUGUCAUGCGGUUGCCCCCUUUUAGAGCACGAGAAGUUUCGAGGCCAACGGAGCAACAGAACCAGCACUUCCUGCACAAACCAGACACGUUCUCUCUUGAUACCCAGAGGCUAGCUCAGAGACGGUGCGGUUUACAAGCGGCCUCAGGGAAAAAAUAGUUGAAUUAAUAAAAAAACGCCGGCAUCCACCAUUUAGAAGAUGGUCUAUCAUUUUGAAUCUUCUCUGCCCGAAACAGGUGAAGAUUCAAAGUGAUAGUUCAUCUUUUUAAUAAAAGUGUAAUGAAUACCGAAGCUUACUGCGCAUCUGGAUUAUCCCACUAUUUAAACAUGUUAUUUUGCUUGACUCUAGGCGAGGUGGGACUAAAGUUUGAUGGUAGCCUUAUCUUUACUGAGAGCAACUCUCGGCAACAGUUCCUUUACAGAGAGCAACUCUCGGAACAGGUAUUGUUGGAUCAUAAAAUUAGUACAUAUUCAUAAUUGUAUACCACCGAAGUACUUUCGACUUUUUAAACAGGUCAUGUUGCUUGUCUCUUAGCGAGGUGGGACUAAAUAUUUGCCGAGAGGCACUUUCCGUAAAGAGUUGCAACCGUGACCAUGCUGUUAUUUGCCGCCGGAGGUGCCACGUGGCAAAACUUUGCCGUGUGGUGACCUGUUGGCCCUCGGCAAAUAAUGCCUUUGCCGGGUGUUGCUUUUUUGCCAAGUCAUACUCUCGGCAUUAUCAUGUGUUUGCCGAGUGCGGCUCUCGGCGUUCAUUACUUUGCCGACUGCCGUGUUUUGGCUCUUGGCGAAAACUCUGACACCCGGCAACGAAAUUUUCAGUAGUGUAGACAUGUCGGUCCGGAUGUUUGCGGGCGUUUUCGGGACGGUGUUGGAGAUGCCCCAACCACGGUUUUUGGGACGGUUUUCGGGGCGGCGUUGGCUGGGUGUAGCGUCCGCGACGACGCAGCUUCCCAAAACCUCGUGCCCGGCCGUUCACAUCCAAAGAAAUCGUCCUUGACUUGUACGUUUCCAGAACGGUGAGAGGGAGAGCUUGGAGUCUGCCGCAUGAGAGAGGGAGAGCUUGGAGUCUGCCACUUGAGAGUUUAGACAGAUAUGGGAGGCAGUGGAGUUCAAGCUGUGUGAGGCUUAAACCUCGUGGAGAGGCGUGGGCAUGCAUGUGUGUGCUUUUUUAGGAUAACCUCGGCGGCAGAUCCAGCCUGAGAAAAGGAAAAUCCGGUUGUCACUUUCCAUAUGAAUCCUGGGAUGUCAUGUGAGUGAGUGGGACACUCCGGGUCGAAAAUUCUCCAGCACCAUAUGUAUAUCCAAGCAUCCGACGUACUACUUGAACAUCACCGAGACACCAACGUAAUCGUAGCGUGACAAGUAACCGUAGCGUACGUGAGCUUCAGUGCAUCUUUGCUUUAGUCACGCCGGACGGGCAGCGACCGCCGGCCGGUGGACGCGCGACUCCUACCGUCGAACAGUACCAUUAUUACCAGGACUGGAGUAGGGCAGAAGCCAUCACUUUCCAACAGCUAAUUUCGGAAUAGUACUCCCUCCGUCCGGGUGUAUAAGUCAUUUGCGUAGUUCUAGGUCAUCGAUUUGAGGAAUUAAAUAUGUGUUAUAUGUCAUGAAAAGUAUACCACUAGAUUUCCACACGGAUGUAGUUUCUAAAUAUAUAUUUUUUGUCACAUAUAAUACAUAUUUAGAUAGUUAAAUUAUCGACCUAGAACUACGCGAAUGACUUAUACACCGGGACGGAGGUAGUAGUAUUGACAAAAGCAGCUCAAGGCGUCGGUCGAUGCAUUCCAUGGCGAAUCGCGCCGCCAUCAUCUUCGUCGUCGUCCUAAAAGUGGCUGUCCUCUCGUCGUCCGCAGCCGCGCAGCUGAGGCCGGACUACUACGCCGGCGUCUGCCCCAACCUGGAGGGCAUCGUCCGGAGCUCCGUGAAGCAGUCCAUGGUCAAGUCCCCCAUCUCCGCGCCCGCUACCCUCAGGCUCUUCUUCCACGACUGCGCCGCCACGGUAUUGGUACACAUUGACGCAAGUAAUAAAUUGAUGGCUGUUGUGCAAGACUGGCAGACCAACGCACGUCAUGCGUGCAGGGCUGUGAUGCGUCGGUCAUGAUCAUGGGCUCAACCGGAGACGACGAGAACCCCGACAAAUAUUCGUUGAAGCCGGAGGGGUUCCAGACGAUCCUGGACGCCAAGGCCGCCGUGGACAGCGACCCGCAGUGCCGUUACAAGGUGUCCUGCGCCGACAUAAUCGCCCUUGCCACAAGAGAGUCCGUCUCCCAGGUAGGAUGACUAUUCGCUGAACGAAUGUGUGACAUGGCGUAUGAGACAAUCCUUAGAUUCAAUCUGUGAAAGUUUCAAGAAGUUUUGCCCGAUGGAUAAAAAACUACAAGUAAAUUUUGGAUUCACCAGAUGGUGACAUGGCGGUAUGACGACUAAGGCGCUGACUUGGAUGUUGAUUGGUCAAAACCAGUCAAAAAAAAGAGAGUAAAAAACCACCUCAAGGUUGUUGUUUGUCCGGUAUGGAAAGUUGAGAGUUGUAAAUUAGAUGAUUUUGUACCUUAGGGUUGUGUUUUGAACUUUGGAGGUAGUUUGAGGUUGUAAUAUGAACUUCUCUCUUCCCUGAACGAAUUUGUCUGCACUCUGUAGAGCGGAGGGCCGAACUACACAGUGGAGCUCGGCAGGUACGAUGGAAAGAAGUCGACGGACAGAAGCGUCAGGCUGCCGCACCCCGGCGACAACCUCGACAGCCUCAAUGCCUACUUCU
rnacentral:lncRNA from 1 species